rnacentral:rRNA from 1 species
UGCAGUCGAACGAUGAACCUCACUUGUGGGGGGAUUAGUGGCGAACGGGUGAGUAACACGUGAGUAACCUGCCCUUGACUCUGGGAUAAGCCUGGGAAACCGGGUCUAAUACUGGAUACGACCUUCCCGCGCAUGCGGUGUUGGUGGAAAGCUUUUGUGGUUUUGGAUGGACUCGCGGCCUAUCAGCUUGUUGGNGGGGUAAUGGCCUACCAAGGCGACGACGGGNAGCCGGCCUGAGAGGGUGACCGGCCACACUGGGACUGAGACACGGCCCAGACUCCUACGGGAGGCAGCAGUGGGGAAUAUUGCACAAUGGGCGCAAGC